GCUGGGCAUGGUGGCUCAUGCCUGUAAUCCCAGCACUUUGGGAGGCUGAGGCAGGUGGAUCACUUGAGGUCAGGAGUUGGAGACCAGCCUGGCCAACAUGGUGAAACCCUGUCUCUA
ensembl:misc_RNA Metazoa_SRP Metazoan signal recognition particle RNA